rnacentral:tRNA from 1 species
AUCACAAUAGUAAAGUGGUCAAAUACGCUCGGUUCAGACCCGGGUCCUUUUAGGUUCGGAGGUUCGAAUCCUCCUUGUGAUA